UGAUUAAGUAAGGAAGGGCGUACGGCGAAUGCCUGGCCACUCGAAACUGAAGAAGGACGCGCCAAACUGCGAAAAGCUCCGUGAAGCUGUAAGGAAGCGAAGAAGCGGAGGUGUCCGAAUGGGGGAACCCGGCAGCAGACAUGAGCUGUCAUCUGCAGGUGAAUACAUGGCCUGCAAGAGAGGUACCCGGCGAACUGAAACAUCUAAGUAGCCGGAGGAAAAGAAAACAACAGUGAUUCCCUGAGUAGCGGCGAGCGAAAGGGGAGAAGCCCAAACCGGUUGAAGGACCGGGGUUGAAGGACCAUGAUAUGGCAAGAACGAGGAUAGGAGAACGGGAUCGAAAGCCCGGCCGAAGAAGGUGAAAGCCCUGUAACCGAAAUCCGAGUAAAGCCUAAUGGGAUCCUGAGUACGGCGAGACACGAGGAAUCUUGUCGGAAGCAGGCGGGACCAUCCGCCAAGGCUAAAUAUAAACGAGUGAGCGAUAGUGAACCAGUACCGUGAGGGAAAGGUGAAAAGAACCGCGGGAGCGGAGUGAAAGAGAACCUGAAACCGUAUGCCUACAAGAAGUCAGAGCCCGUUAAGGGGUGAUGGCGUGCCUUUUGUAGAAUGAACCGGCGAGUUGCGACAGACUGCGAGGUUAAGGAGGAAAGACCGGAGCCGAAGCGAAAGCGAGUCUUAAUAGGGCGAAAGUAGGAUGUUGCAGACCCGAAACCGGGUGAUCUAGCCAUGAGCAGGUUGAAGUUGAGGUGAAACUCAAUGGAGGACCGAACCGACUACCGUUGAAAAGUUAGCGGAUGACUUGUGGCUAGGGGAGAAAUUCCAAUCGAACCCGGAGAUAGCUGGUUCUCCCCGAAAUAGCUUUAGGGCUAGCGUCGGAAAGAACCUUAGUGAAGGUAGAGCACUGAAUGUGUGAUGGCCCCAUCCCGGGGUACUGAAUACAAUCAAACUGCGAAUGUCAUUAAGGAUGUCCGGCAGUCAGACUGUGAGUGAUAAGGUCCAUGGUCAAGAGGGAAACAGCCCAGACCGCCAGUUAAGGUCCCAAAAUACAGGCUAAGUGGAAAAGGAUGUGGGGAUGCCCAGACAACUAGGAGGUUGGCUCAGAAGCAGCCAUCCUUUAAAGAGUGCGUAACAGCUCACUAGUCGAGUGACCCUGCGCCGAAAAUGUACCGGGGCUAAGCCUGAUACCGAAACUGCGGAUUGUAGGAAACUAUAGUGGUAGGGGAGCGUUGUAUACGAGCNNNNNNNNNNNGUAGGGGAGCGUUGUAUACGAGCAGAAGCCGUACCGUGAGGAGCGGUGGAUUGUAUAGAAGUGAGAAUGCCGGUGUGAGUAGCGAGAUGUAGGUGAGAAUCCUACACACCGAAAGCCCAAGGAUUCCAGGGGAAGGUUCGUCCGCCCUGGGUAAGUCGGGACCUAACGCGAGGCCGAAAGGCGUAGUGGAUGGAAAGCAGGCGAAAGAUUCCUGCACCCGUAUAUGGAGCGAAGGAGUGACGGAGACGGAUAGUGUGACCCUCUUAAUGGAUUGAGGGCGAAGCGAAGCGGCUGGUUACCAGGCAAAUCCGGUAACCGAAAAGGCUAGAGCGUGACAGGUAAGCGAAAUCUUAGGAAAGUAGCGAAGCACAUGAUGACGGCUUCCAGGAAAAGCUUCUGGCAAUGCAUAUGCGGCCCGUACCAAAACCGACACAGGUGGGCAGGGAGAGAAUCCCGAGGUGAGCGAGAGAACUGUUGCCAAGGAACUCGGCANNNNNNNNNNCAAGGAACUAGGCAAAAUAGUCCUGUAACUUCGGGAAAAAGGACGCUCUAGUGAUAGAGCCGCAGAGUAAUGGCCCAGGCGACUGUUUACCAAAAACACAUGGCUAUGCCAAAUCGAAAGAUGACGUAUAUGGCCUGACACCUGCCCGGUGCCGGAAGGUUAAGAGGAGAGCUCAUCCGCGAGGAGAAGGUUUGAAUUGAAGCCCCGGUAAACGGCGGCCGUAACUAUAACGGUCCUAAGGUAGCGAAAUUCCUUGUCAGGUAAGUUCUGACCCGCACGAAAGGUGUAACGAUUUGGGCGCUGUCUCGGCAGCAGACUCGGUGAAAUCUUAGUACCUGUGAAAAUGCAGGUUACCCGCAACUAGACGGAAAGACCCCAUGGAGCUUUACUGCAGCCUGAUAUUGAAUUCUGGUCAUACAUGUACAGGA
rnacentral:rRNA from 1 species